UAACGCGUGAGUAACCUGCCUCAUACAGGGGAAUAACAGUUAGAAAUGACUGCUAAUGCCGCAUAAGCGCACAGGGCCGCACGGCCCGGUGUGAAAAACUCCGGUGGUAUGAGAUGGACUCGCGUCUGAUUAGCUAGUUGGCAGGGUAACGGCCUACCAAGGCGACGAUCAGUAGCCGGCCUGAGAGGGUGAACGGCCACAUUGGGACUGAGACACGGCCCAA
rnacentral:rRNA from 1 species